rnacentral:lncRNA from 1 species
UUGAAUAUCAGCUUCCGUCUAGUUAUUUUACGUCUUUUGCGCUAUUGCCGAAUACGCCGAAUUCAAUAUCUAGUGGAAGAUACGCUGAUGCAUGUGUGUUAGUGCGUAUCGUUUUUGGCCAGUUUGGACGGAUCAAUCCUCUGUGAUCCACCGAAUUGGGCGGCAUUACAGUGUAACUGUAAAAUUCGUGUAAUAAGAAGUAUUGUUUGAGAAAGUUGUUCUUGGAUGGUGCAGAGCUGCAAAAAUAAAAAGCAAGAAAAUCAAAUCAGGACACGUGCACGCUAAUCAGUACAUUAAUUAACUACAAACUGGGUGUACUCCACGUUCGAGGAACUAGUUUCCGUACGGUAAAUGCGGAUUCUUUAUACAGAGUGUGAAAUCAUUUCCGGCGCAGCCAGUUAGCAUGGGAAAACAAUUCCGGCAACUUUCCGUCAAAUCUCCAAUGAGAGAUGACAUAGCUGAUGUGGCGUUUUAGAUUAAAGAAUCGUUUCCUACUCUCUCCAGUCUCUGGGUUGAAGAAAUGGCAACGCAAAGAAGGCGAAUGUAAGGAUAUUAAUACCUACAAAACUAGUAUCGGAGACGAUAUUAAUGCCUGGUUAAAAAUAUUACAUUUAUACCACAUCCAAGACUGGAUGAUCAUUCUAGUAGAAACAUAUGAUGUGAAAGGCCAAUAAGCUAUUACCUAGAACUACUGUUUUGGACAAAAUACGAAGUGGUUUUGCUGCCAAGACUGCUGAUAGGAAGAAUUAGUAUUUGAACUAAAUCAUCAUCUAAGACUUCUUUUGGUCGAGUGUAAGGCGUCCUUGUUAGAUCUUAGAAGUUACUUGAAUAAUAAUAAUGAUAAUUUAGAAUAAUGGUCUGUACAUUUAUUAGUAAAGUAUGAUGAGAUAUAUUUAUUCAUCAAUAAAGAAAAAAUCUAACAAAAUACGAGAU